UCCUUCUUUUUUUCAUUCUCACUAACUACACUCCUUCUUUCUCUCCCUUCCUUUUCUUACGCACAACAUACACAAGAGCACACAGUAUAGGUGCAACUAUAUAUAUAUAACAUUUCCAAACUGUAAAAAAAACAUAACACGUAGAGUACCACAAAAGAAACAUUGGUACGUCCCAGUUAUAGUGUGAAGAAUCACUCCCCAACCACAAAACUCAUGCAUGCCGCUAUUAUCUUUCCAGGUUGAUCUCAUUCCU
rnacentral:sRNA from 1 species